AGUGAAAGAGGGAGGGAGUAAUAACACAUGCAAGUCGAACGGCAGCACAGUAAGAGCUUGCUCUUACGGGUGGCGAGUGGCGGACGGGUGAGGAAUACAUCGGAAUCUACUUUUUCGUGGGGGAUAACGUAGGGAAACUUACGCUAAUACCGCAUACGACCUACGGGUGAAAGCAGGGGAUCUUCGGACCUUGCGCGAUUGAAUGAGCCGAUGUCGGAUUAGCUAGUUGGCGGGGUAAAGGCCCACCAAGGCGACGAUCCGUAGCUGGUCUGAGAGGAUGAUCAGCCACACUGGAACUGAGACACGGUCCAGACUCCUACGGGAGGCAGCAGUGGGGAAUAUUGGACAAUGGGCGCAAGCCUGAUCCAGCCAUACCGCGUGGGUGAAGAAGGCCUUCGGGUUGUAAAGCCCUUUUGUUGGGAAAGAAAAGCAGCAGGUUAAUACCCCGCUGUUCUGACGGUACCCAAAGAAUAAGCACCGGCUAACUUCGUG
rnacentral:rRNA from 1 species